CUACGUGCCAGCAGCCGCGGUAAUACGUAGGUGGCAGGCGUUGUCCGGAAUUAUUGGGCGUAAAGCGCGCGCAGGCGGAUUGGUCAGUCUGUCUUAAAAGUUCGGGGCUUAACCCCGUGAUGGGAUGGAAACUGCUGAUCUAGAGUAUCGGAGAGGAAAGUGGAAUUCCUAGUGUAGCGGUGAAAUGCGUAGAUAUUAGGAAGAACACCAGUGGCGAAGGCGACUUUCUGGACGAAAACUGACGCUGAGGCGCGAAAGCCAGGGGAGCAAACGGGAUUAGAUACCCCGGUAGUCCUGGCCGUAAACGAUGGGUACUAGGUGUAGGAGGUAUCGACCCCUCCUGUGCCGGAGUUAACGCAAUAAGUACCCCGCCUGGGGAGUACGGCCGCAAGGCUGAAACUCAAAGGAAUUGACGGGGGCCCGCACAAGCGGUGGAGUAUGUGGUUUAAUUCGACGCAACGCGAAGAACCUUACCAAGCCUUGACAU
rnacentral:rRNA from 1 species